GCGGGUGUGGCGAAACUGGUAGACGCACUGGAUUUAGGUUCCAGCGCCGCAAGGCAUGGGGGUUCAAGUCCCUUCACCCGCACCA
rnacentral:tRNA from 3 species